UACGUAGGGUGCGAGCGUUAUUCGGAAUUACUGGGCGUAAAGCGUGCGCAGGCGGUAAUGCAAGUCAGAUGUGAAAUCCCCGGGCUUAACCUGGGAACUGCAUUUGUGACUGCAUUGCUGGAGUGCGGCAGAGGGGGAUGGAAUUCCGCGUGUAGCAGUGAAAUGCGUAGAUAUGCGGAGGAACACCGAUGGCGAAGGCAAUCCCCUGGGCCUGCACUGACGCUCAUGCACGAAAGCGUGGGGAGCAAACAGG
rnacentral:rRNA from 1 species